rnacentral:rRNA from 1 species
GAACGCUGGCGGCGUGCUUAAUACCUGCUAGUCGAACGAGCGCUUCUGCGCUAGUGGCGGACGGGUGAGUAACGCCUGAGGAUCUGCCCUUAUGAUUGGGACAACAGUUGGAAACGACUGCUAAUACCGCAUAUGGCGAGAGCUGAAAGAUUUAUCGCCUGAUGAUGAACUCGCGUCUGAUUAUCUAGUUGGUGAGGUAAUGGCUCACCAACGCAACGAUCAUUAGCUGGUCUGAUAGGAUGAUCAGCCACACUGGGACUGAUACACGGCCCAGACUCCUACUGGAGGCAGCAGUGGGGAAUUUUCCGCGAUGGGGGCAACCCUGACGGAGCAUCGCCGCGUGCGGGAGGACGGCCUGUGGGUUGUAAACCGCUUUUCUCUGGGAAGAAGAUCUGACGGUACCAGAGGAAUCAUCAUCGGCUAACUCCGUGCCAGCAGCCGCGGUAAGACGGAGGAUGCAAGCGUUAUCCGGAAUUAUUGGGCGUAAAGCGUCCGUAGGCGGUCAAUUAAGUCUGCUGUCAAAACCUGCAUCUCAACUGCACAACGGCUGUGGAAACUGAUUGACUAGAGAGCGGUAGGGGUAGAGGGAAUUCCCAGUGUAGCGGUGAAAUGCGUAGAUAUUGGGAAGAACACCAGUGGCGAAGGCGCUCUACUGGACCGCGACUGACGCUGAGGGACGAAAGCUAGGGGAGCGAAAGGUAUUAGAUACUCCUGUACUCCUAGCUGUAAACGAUGGACACUA